rnacentral:rRNA from 1 species
GAUGAACGCUGGCGGCGUGCCUAAUACAUGCAAGUCGAGCGAACGGACGAGAAGCUUGCUUCUCUGAUGUUAGCGGCGGACGGGUGAGUAACACGUGGAUAACCUACCUAUAAGACUGGGAUAACUUCGGGAAACCGGAGCUAAUACCGGAUAAUAUUUUGAACCGCAUGGUUCAAAAGUGAAGGACGGUCUUGCUGUCACUUAUAGAUGGAUCCGCGCUGCAUUAGCUAGUUGGUAAGGUAACGGCUUACCAAGGCAACGAUGCAUAGCCGACCUGAGAGGGUGAUCGGCCACACUGGAACUGAGACACGGUCCAGACUCCUACGGGAGGCAGCAGUAGGGAAUCUUCCGCAAUGGGCGAAAGCCUGACGGAGCAACGCCGCGUGAGUGAUGAAGGUCUUCGGAUCGUAAAACUCUGUUAUUAGGGAAGAACAUAUGUGUAAGUAACUGUGCACAUCUUGACGGUACCUAAUCAGAAAGCCACGGCUAACUACGU